GAAAACAAAUUGCACGGCGAACUGGGAGCUGUGAACUGGGAAGCAGAUGUUCUUCUCAGGGACAGCCUAGAGGCAGCAAGGUGGUGCGAACGCCAAACAGAUGUUCUUCUCAGGGACAGCCUAGAGGCAGCAAGGUGGUGCGAACGCCAAACAGAUGUUCUUCUCAGGGACAGCCUAGAGGCAGCAAGGUGGUGCGAACGCCAAACAGAUGUUCUUCUCAGGGACAGCCUAGAGGCAGCAAGGUGGUGCGAACGCCAAACAUUUAAAGGCACCGUUUCCCUCCCUAGUGUAAUUGGGAUGGACGGGGAAGACCGUAUUACAACUCUUAAAGAACUACGGUUGUAUGAUGGCCUGGAUG